rnacentral:rRNA from 1 species
GACGAACGCUGGUGGCGUGCUUAACACAUGCAAGUCGAACGGAAAGGCCCUGCUUUUGUGGGGUGCUCGAGUGGCGAACGGGUGAGUAACACGUGAGUAACCUGCCCUUGACUUUGGGAUAACUUCAGGAAACUGGGGCUAAUACCGGAUAGGAGCUCCUGCUGCAUGGUGGGGGUUGGAAAGUUUCGGCGGUUGGGGAUGGACUCGCGGCCUAUCAGCUUGUUGGUGGGGUAGUGGCUUACCAAGGCUUUGACGGGUAGCCGGCCUGAGAGGGUGACCGGCCACAUUGGGACUGAGAUACGGCCCAGACUCCUACGGGAGGCAGCAGUGGGGAAUAUUGCACAAUGGGCGGAAGCCUGAUGCGGCAACGCCGCGUGCGGGAUGACGGCCUUCGGGUUGUAAACCGCUUUCGCCUGUGACGAAGCGUGAGUGACGGUAAUGGGUAAAGAAGCACCGGCUAACUACGUG